rnacentral:rRNA from 1 species
AUACGAAGGGGGCUAGCGUUGUUCGGAAUUACUGGGCGUAAAGCGCGCGCAGGCGGUUUUCCAAGUCAGUGGUGAAAGCCCAGAGCUCAACUCUGGAACUGCCAUUGAAACUAGAAAACUAGGGUACGGGAGAGGUGAGUGGAAUUCCGAGUGUAGAGGUGAAAUUCGUAGAUAUUCGGAAGAACACCAGUGGCGAAGGCGGCUCACUGGCCCGUUACCGACGCUCAGGCGCGACAGCGUGGGGAGCAAACAGGAUUAGAAACCCCGGUAGUCC